rfam:Sporanaerobacter acetigenes DSM 13106 genome assembly, contig: EJ96DRAFT_scaffold00002.2
UAGGUUUCAGGGCAAAACUAUCGAAAGGUAGUGACGCAAAGCCAGAGUCUAAAGCUAUCCUUGAUAGCAUGACCGUUCGGCUGCAUAA